rnacentral:misc_RNA from 1 species
UCGUAACAAGGUUUCCGUAGGUGAACCUGCGGAAGGAUCAUUACUGAUUUGCUUAAUUGCACCACAUGUGUUUUUUAUUGAACAAAUUUCUUUGGUGGCGGGAGCAAUCCUACCGCCAGAGGUUAUAACUAAACCAAACUUUUUAUUUACAGUCAAACUUGAUUUAUUAUUACAAUAGUCAAAACUUUCAACAACGGAUCUCUUGGUUCUCGCAUCGAUGAAGAACGCAGCGAAAUGCGAUACGUAAUAUGAAUUGCAGAUAUUCGUGAAUCAUCGAAUCUUUGAACGCACAUUGCGCCCUUUGGUAUUCCAAAGGGCAUGCCUGUUUGAGCGUCAUUUCUCCCUCAAACCCCCGGGUUUGGUGUUGAGCAAUACGCUAGGUUUGUUUGAAAGAAUUUACGUGGAAACUUAUUUUAAGCGACUUAGGUUUAUCCAAAACGCUUAUUUUGCUAGUGGCCACCACAAUUUAUUUCAUAACUUUGACCUCAAAUCAGGUAGGACUACCCGCUGAACUUAAGCAUAUCAAUAA